UGCAAGUCGAGCGAACAGAUAGGAGCUUGCUCCUUUGACGUUAGCGGCGGACGGGUGAGUAACACGUGGGUAACCUACCUAUAAGACUGGGAUAACUUCGGGAAACCGGAGCUAAUACCGGAUAAUAUUUCGAACCGCAUGGUUCGAUAGUGAAAGAUGGUUUUGCUAUCACUUAUAGAUGGACCCGCGCCGUAUUAGCUAGUUGGUAAGGUAACGGCUUACCAAGGCGACGAUACGUAGCCGACCUGAGAGGGUGAUCGGCCACACUGGAACUGAGACACGGUCCAGACUCCUACGGGAGGCAGCAGUAGGGAAUCUUCCGCAAUGGGCGAAAGCCUGACGGAGCAACGCCGCGUGAGUGAUGAAGGUCUUCGGAUCGUAAAACUCUGUUAUUAGGGAAGAACAUACGUGUAAGUAACUAUGCACGUCUUGACGGUACCUAAUCAGAAAGCCACGGCUAACUACGUGCCAGCAGCCGCGGUAAUACGUAGGUGGCAAGCGUUAUCCGGAAUUAUUGGGCGUAAAGCGCGCGUAGGCGGUUUUUUAAGUCUGAUGUGAAAGCCCACGGCUCAACCGUGGAGGGUCAUUGGAAACUGGAAAACUUGAGUGCAGAAGAGGAAAGUGGAAUUCCAUGUGUAGCGGUGAAAUGCGCAGAGAUAUGGAGGAACACCAGUGGCGAAGGCGACUUUCUGGUCUGUAACUGACGCUGAUGUGCGAAAGCGUGGGGAUCAAACAGGAUUAGAUACCCUGGUAGUCCACGCCGUAACGAUGAGUGCUAAGUGUUA
rnacentral:rRNA from 1 species